rnacentral:rRNA from 1 species
ACUGCUGGAAACGGCUGCUAAUACCGAAUACGUUUUUUCUGUCGCAUGGCAGAGAGAAGAAAGGGAGGCUCUUCGGAGCUUUCGCUGGAGGAGGGGCUUGCGUCUGAUUAGCUAGUUGGAGGGGUAACGGCCCACCAAGGCGACGAUCAGUAGCCGGUCUGAGAGGAUGAACGGCCACAUUGGGACUGAGACACGGCCCAGACUCCUACGGGAGGCAGCAGUGGGGAAUCUUCCGCAAUGGACGAAAGUCUGACGGAGCAACGCCGCGUGAACGAUGACGGCCUUCGGGUUGUAAAGUUCUGUUAUACGGGACGAAUGGUACGACGGUCAAUACCCGUCGUAAGUGACGGUACCGUAAGAGAAAGCCACGGCUAACUACGUGCCAGCAGCCGCGGUAAUACGUAGGUGGCAAGCGUUGUCCGGAAUUAUUGGGCGUAAAGGGCGCGCAGGCGGCGUCGUAAGUCGGUCUUAAAAGUGCGGGGCUUAACCCCGUGAGGGGACCGAAACUGCGAUGCUAGAGUAUCGGAGAGGAAAGCGGAAUUCCUAGUGUAGCGGUGAAAUGCGUAGAUAUUAGGAGGAACACCAGUGGCGAAAGCGGCUUUCUGGACGACAACUG